AGAGUUUGAUCCUGGCUCAGGAUGAACGCUAGCGGCAGGCUUAAUACAUGCAAGUCGAGCGGUAGGUGGCUUCGGCCAUUGAGAGCGGCGCACGGGUGAGUAACGCGUACAUGACCUGCCUGUCAGAAGGGGAUAGCCCUGGGAAACUGGGAUUAAUACCCUAUGGUAUUGAUGUUAUAGAUGAUAUCAAUUAAAGCUGAGGCGCUGACAGAUGGAUGUGCGUCUGAUUAGCUAGUUGGUAGGGUAACGGCCUACCAAGGCGACGAUCAGUAGGGGGCGUGAGAGCGUGGUCCCCCACACGGGUACUGAGACACGGACCCGACUCCUACGGGAGGCAGCAGUAAGGAAUAUUGGUCAAUGCCCGCAAGGGUGAACCAGCCAUUCCGCGUGGAGGAUGAAGGCCCUAUGGGUUGUAAACUUCUUUUAGAUGGGAAGAAAAUGCUAGAAUUUUCUGGUACUGACGGUACCAUCAGAAUAAGCACCGGCUAACUCCGUGCCAGCAGCCGCGGUAAUACGGAGGGUGCGAGCGUUAUCCGGAAUUACUGGGUUUAAAGGGUGCGUAGGCGGAUGAUUAAGUCUAAGGUGAAAGUUUGUCGCUUAACGAUAAAAUUGCCUUGGAUACUGGUUAUCUUGAAUAAGGAUGAGGAUGGCGGAAUGUGGCAUGUAGCGGUGAAAUGCAUAGAUAUGCCAUAGAACACCAAUUGCGAAGGCAGCUGGCUAGACCUGGAUUGACGCUGAGGCACGAAAGCGUGGGGAGCGAACAGGAUUAGAUACCCUGGUAGUCCACGCCCUAAACGAUGCUUACUCGACGUAUGAGGCUUGACCUUGUGCGUCCAAGGGAAACCGUUAAGUAAGCCACCUGGGGAGUACGACCGCAAGGUUGAAACUCAAAGGAAUUGACGGGGGUC
rnacentral:rRNA from 1 species